GGUAUGUUGAGUAUCCCGACGAAGGUCCAUGGUAUGAACUGUUGGUCAUUCCACUUCGUUUUGAGCUACUUUGUUCAAUCAUGAUCCCCAUAUCAAUUAAGGUGUCCCUUGACCUUGUGAAGAGCUUGUAUGCAAAGUUUAUUGAUUGGGAUGAUAAAAUGAUUGACCAUGAGACUAUUACUCCAGCCCAUGCAACAAAUACAGCAAUCAGCGAGGACUUGGGCCAGGUUGAGUACAUUUUGACUGACAAAACUGGUACUCUAACAAAAAAUAAGAUGAUCUUUAGA